UAAGAGAUAAUGCCGAAUCCCAAAUGGGUACGGAGGAACCAUAUUUUGGGGUGAAUCUGAUAUGUAUUAUCAGUAGGGAAUUCCUUCUUCCCGAACCCGUCAGCUAACUCCGGAGGCAUAGGAAGGAGUAGAA
rnacentral:sRNA from 2 species